rnacentral:rRNA from 1 species
UACGGGGGGGGUAAGCGUUGUUCGGAAUUACUGGGCGUAAAGGGCUCGUAGGCGGCCAACUAAGUCAGACGUGAAAUCCCUCAGCUUAACUGGGGAACUGCGUCUGAUACUGGAUGGCUUGGAUCCGGGAGAGGGAUGCGGAAUUCCAGGUGUAGCGGUGAAAUGCGUAGAUAUCUGGAGGAACACCGGUGGCGAAGGCGGUCUGCUGGGCAGUUGCUG